GUUGAGCGUAGCGUGGAGGGAGAGGGGAGAGAGAGUGUGUGUGUGUGGAGGCUGAUUCCUGGUUGAUGAAUCCCACAGGCGGUGCUUGGCUCUUAAAGGGGCCGAUGGCUGCUGGGCUGGCUCAAUCAAAACAGUGUUUGGCGGAGCCACUUCUGCCAUGCCUGAGGGCCAGACUGACUGAAACAAAGAAAACCAGAAACAAACGGAAGAGAGAGAGGAGAGGAACGCAAACAUCCUGGAGGAAUGUAAUGCUGCUCUGUUCUGGUGCUCUGGAGCACUGAAGCACGGCAGCAGAUGGCAACAAAGAUCUGGUAUCAGGGCACAGCACAGGGACCAUGUUGACUUUGGUUCUAUCUCUCACCCCCUGCCCAGCAAGCACUGUCUCUGGGCACAAGCCGUCUACACCGGGGCUGGAUGAAUAGAUUGAUGCACAGUGAUUCUAUAUCUCUCAUUGUUUUGGGGCGGGAGGUAGCCUAGUGGUUAGAGCGUUGGGCCAGUAACCGAAAGGAUGCUGGAUCGAAUCCUCGAGCUGACAAGGUAAACAUCUGUCGUUCUGCCCCUGAACAAGGCAGUUAACCUACUGUUCCUAGGCCGUCAUCGUAACUGAGAAUUUGUUCUUAACUGACUUGCCUAGUUAAAUAAAGGUUAAAUAAAAAAUGUAAA